AUAAAUUGUAAUAAAAAUUCGUAUAACCCCAUUAAUAUGGUUUGGGGGUAUCUACCAUGGAACCGUUAAUUCCUGCUUACGAAGAGAACAUUUUU
rnacentral:ncRNA from 1 species